rfam:[Candida] intermedia strain CBS 141442 genome assembly, organelle: mitochondrion
GAGUUAGUCGUCUAAUGGUUAAGACUAUUGCCUUUUAAGCAAUCCAUAUUGGUUCGAUUCCAAUCUAACUCA